AUUGGACGCUGGCGGCAGGCCUAACACAUGCAAGUCGAGCGGAUGAAGGGAGCUUGCUCCUGGAUUCAGCGGCGGACGGGUGAGUAAUGCCUAGGAAUCUGCCUGGUAGUGGGGGAUAACGUCCGGAAACGGGCGCUAAUACCGCAUACGUCCUGAUGGAGAAAGUGGGGGAUCUUCGGACCUCACGCUAUCAGAUGAGCCUAGGUCGGAUUAGCUAGUUGGUGGGGUAAAGGCCUACCAAGGCGACGAUCCGUAACUGGUCUGGGAGAAUGAUCAGUCACCCUGGAGCUUGGCCACGGUCCUGGCUCCUACGGGAGGCAGCAGUGGGGAAUAUUGGACAAUGGGCGGAAGCCUGAUCCAGCCGUGCCGCGUGUGUGAAGAAGGUCUUCGGAUUGUAAAGCACUUUAAGUUGUGAGGAAGGGCAGUAAGUUAAUACCUUGCUGUUUUGACGUUACCAACAGAAUAAGCACCGGCUAACUUCGUG
rnacentral:rRNA from 1 species